UACGUAGGGUGCGAGCGUUAAUCGGAAUUACUGGGCGUAAAGCGUGCGCAGGCGGUUCGCCAAGUCAGGUGUGAAAUCCCCGGGCUUAACCUGGGAAUUGCGUCCGAAACUAUGGAGCUGGAGUGUGGCAGAGGGAGGUGGAAUUCCACGUGUAGCGGUGAAAUGCGUAGAGAUGUGGAGGAACACCGAUGGCGAAGGCAGCCUCCUGGGCCAACACUGACGCUCAUGCACGAAAGCGUGGGGAGCAAACAGG
rnacentral:rRNA from 1 species